AUCCAUGUGAUAAAAGCCCAUAAUUCAGCCCAAUAAAGUUACCACAUGCCAUAGCUUCCUGCUUUUCACUCAGUCCCAGGUGUUGGGACACACAAUCUUGUUGUCUCUAUUUUCGCAACGAUCUUUCUGAAUUUCCUAAACCCCAUUCCUCUCCUUCUCAAAUGGCAUCCCAAGGAUCAUUGGAGGCGCUGCCAGAGGAAUUUCCGACUAGGAUCAAUUACCGUCCAAACGGCAAGCCUCGGAUUGUAAUUGAACACUACAUGCCUGAACUGGAAACAUAUAUGCCAAGGGAUGCUGAACCAAUUGAUUUAAAUGUAUUGCGAGAAAUCAAUGAUCGAUUGACAGCUAUGCUAGAAGAUGUGAGAUUGAUGAAGAAACGACUUACCCGUAUCAUGAUUUUGCAGUUACUAUGUCUCUUUGUUGCAUUUUCAGGUCUUUUUGUGAAGUUGAUCCGAAAGUAAGUAGUGUUAUCCAAUGAGCCAUUUAGCCUUCUAGGAAUGCUGCUCGGAAGUUUGUCUAGGAAAAUGCAGUGUUAAUAGUUCUUUAAACUUUUGUGCUUUGAGUCGGUACUUUGCAGUCUGCAUGCUUGUGUGCCUCUAUCAUCAUGUGCUGUUGUAAAUAAGUUCUUGUAAUCAAGUUUUUGGCUUUUUUUUCAAUUGAAAAGA